GUGGUAUAGAGCAACACAGGCCUGCAGGUAGGCUGUAAAAGAUAAGACAGUGGUAUAGAACAACACAGGCCUGCAGGUAGGCUGCAGAAGAUAAGACAGUGGUAUAGAACAACACAGGCCUGCAGGUAGGCUGUAAAAGAUAAGACAGUGG